AGAGUUUGAUCCUGGCUCAGAUUGAACGCUGGCGGCAGGCCUAACACAUGCAAGUCGAACGGUAACAGGAAGCAGCUUGCUGCUUUGCUGACGAGUGGCGGACGGGUGAGUAAUGUCUGGGAAACUGCCCGAUGGAGGGGGAUAACUACGCGAAAGCGUAGCUAAUACCGCAUACGCCCUGAGGGGGAAAGCGGGGGAUCGCAAGACCUCGCGUGAUUGGAGCGGCCGAUGUCGGAUUAGCUAGUUGGUGGGGUAAAGGCCUACCAAGGCGACGAUCCGUAGCGGGUCUGAGAGGAUGACCAGCCACACUGGAACUGGGACACGGUCCAGACUCCUACGGGAGGCAGCAGUGGGGAAUAUUGCACAAUGGGCGCAAGUCUGACGGAGCAACGCCGCGUGAGAGAAGAAGGUUUUCGGAUUGUAAAUCUCUGUCUUCUGGGAAGAAUGGUCUCUAUGUGAAUAAUGUAGAGACAUGACGGUACUAGAGGAGGAAGCCACGGCUAACUACGUGCCAGCAGCCGCGGUAAUA
rnacentral:rRNA from 1 species